rnacentral:rRNA from 1 species
AGGGUUCGAUUCUGGCUCAGGACGAACGCUGGCGGCGUGCCUAACACAUGCAAGUCGAGCGGGGACAUACGACGGAGUCAAAGUUUCGGAUGGAGACGAAGAUGUAUGUUCUAGCGGCGGACGGGUGAGUAACGCGUGAGCAACCUGUCCCUUACAGGGGGAUAACACAGCGAAAGUUGUACUAAUACCGCAUGAGACCACGGGUAGACAUCUACCAGGGGUCAAAGGAGCAAUCCGGUAAGGGGUGGGCUCGCGUCCGAUUAGAUAGUUGGUGAGGUAACGGCCCACCAAGUCGACGAUCGGUAGCCGACCUGAGAGGGUGAUCGGCCGCAUUGGGACUGAGACACGGCCCAAACUCCUACGGGAGGCAGCAGUGGGGAAUAUUGGGCAAAUGGGGGAAACCCUGACCCAGCAACGCCGCGUGAGGGAAGAAGGUUUUCGGAUCGUAAACCUCUGUCCUUGGUGAAGAGGAAGAGACGGUAGCCAAGGAGGAAGCCCCGGCUAACUACGUGCCAGCCGCGGC